rnacentral:rRNA from 1 species
UACGAAGGGGGCUAGCGUUGCUCGGAAUCACUGGGCGUAAAGCGCACGUAGGCGGAUUGUUAAGUCAGGGGUGAAAUCCUGGAGCUCAACUCCAGAACUGCCUUUGAUACUGGAUGUCUCGAGACCGGGAGAGGUGAGUGGAAUUCCGAGUGUAGAGGUGAAAUUCGUAGAUAUUCGGAAGAACACCAGUGGCGAAGGCGGCUCACUGGCCCGGUUCUGACGCUGAGGUGCGAAAGCGUGGGGAGCAAACAGG